UUCCGAGUUAGCUCAGCGGUAGAGCAGUUGACUGUUAAUCAAUUGGUCGUAGGUUCAAAUCCUACACUCGGAGU
rnacentral:tRNA from 1 species